rnacentral:rRNA from 1 species
CAGUAGCCGCGGGAAUACGUAGGGUGCAAGCGUUAAUCGGAAUUACUGGGCGUAAAGCGUGCGCAGGCGGUUAUAUAAGACAGAUGUGAAAUCCCCGGGCUCAACCUGGGAACUGCAUUUGUGACUGUAUAGCUAGAGUACGGCAGAGGGGGAUGGAAUUCCGCGUGUAGCAGUGAAAUGCGUAGAUAUGCGGAGGAACACCGAUGGCGAAGGCAAUCCCCUGGGCCUGUACUGACGCUCAUGCACGAAAGCGUGGGGAGCAAACAGGAUUAGAUACCCGGGUAGUCCCUGUCUCUUAUAU